rnacentral:rRNA from 1 species
UAUUGAAAACUCCGGUGGAUAGAGAUGGGCACGCGCAAGAUUAGAUAGUUGGUGAGGUAACGGCUCACCAAGUCUGUGAUCUUUAGGGGUCCUGAGAGGGAGAUCCCCCACACUGGUACUGAGACACGGACCANACUCCUACGGGAGGCAGCAGUGAGGAAUAUUGGACAAUGGGUGAAAGCCUGAUCCAGCCAUCCCGCGUGAAGGAUGACGGUCCUAUGGAUUGUAAACUUCUUUUGUACAGGGAUAAACCUACCCUCGUGAGGGUAGCUGAAGGUACUGUACGAAUAANCACCGGCUAACUCCGUGCCAGCAGCCGCGGUAAUACGGAGGGUGCAAGCGUUAUCCGGAUUUAUUGGGUUUAAAGGGUCCGUAGGCGGACCUGUAAGUCAGUGGUGAAAUCUCAUAGCUUAACUAUGAAACUGCCAUUGAUACUGCAGGUCUUGAGUA